GAUCCGGUGGCCUAGUGGUUAGAGCGCCCGUCUCGGAUGGGGGAGGUCGUGGGUUCGAUCACCGGUCGAGUCA